AGUGAACGCUGGCGGUAGGCCUAACACAUGCAAGUCGAACGGCAGCACAGUAAGAGCUUGCUCUUACGGGUGGCGAGUGGCGGACGGGUGAGGAAUACAUCGGAAUCUACUUUUUCGUGGGGGAUAACGUAGGGAAACUUACGCUAAUACCGCAUACGACCUACGGGUGAAAGCAGGGGAUCUUCGGACCUUGCGCGAUUGAAUGAGUCGAUGUCGGAUUAGCUAGUUGGCGGGGUAAAGGCCCACCAAGGCGACGAUCCGUAGCUGGUCUGAGAGGAUGAUCAGCCACACUGGAACUGAGACACGGUCCAGACUCCUACGGGAGGCAGCAGUGGGGAAUAUUGGACAAUGGGCGCAAGCCUGAUCCAGCCAUACCGCGUGGGUGAAGAAGGCCUUCGGGUUGUAAAGCCCUUUUGUUGGGAAAGAAAAGCAGCAGGUUAAUACCCCGCUGUUCUGACGUUACCCAAAGAAUAAGCACCGGCUAACUUCGUG
rnacentral:rRNA from 1 species